rnacentral:rRNA from 1 species
CCUACGGGAGGCAGCAGUGAGGAAUAUUGGUCAAUGGGCGGAAGCCUGAACCAGCCAAGUAGCGUGCGGGAUGAAGGCCCUACGGGUCGUAAACCGCUUUUGCACGGGGAUAAAACCCUCCACGUGUCGAGUUCUGCAGGUACCAGGCAAAAAAGGCCCGGCAAAUUCCGUGCCAGAAGCCGCGGUAACACGGAGGGCCCGGGCGUCUUCCGGAUUCAUGGGGGUUAAAGGGUGCGUAGGCGGGCCUUCAAGCCAGCGGUAAAAUCGGGGGGCUCAACGGCGCCCCGCAGUUGAAACUGGAAGCCUUGAGUUCGCAACAGGCAGGCGGAAUUCGUGGUGUAGCGGUGAAAUGCAUAGAUAUCACGAGGAACCCCGAUUGCGAAGGCAGCCUGCCGGGGUGCGACUGACGCUGAGGCUCGAAGGUGCGGGUAUCAAACAGGAUUAGAUACCCGAGUAGUC